GAUCCGCCCGGGAAUUACGAACAUAAGUUUAAAACCCCAAGGACUUGGCGGUGCUUUACAUCCACCUAGAGGAGCCUGUUCUAGAACCGAUAAUCCCCGUUAAACCUCACCCUCUCUUGUUCCAUCCGCCUAUAUACCACCGUCGUCAGCUUACCCUGUAAAGGAACAACAGUAAGCAGGAUUGGUACAACCCAAAACGUCAGGUCGAGGUGUAGUGUAUGGGAGGGGAAGAAAUGGGCUACAUUUGCUAAUUAUAGCAAACACGAAUAAUGCAUUGAAACAUGCAAUUGAAGGAGGAUUUAGUAGUAAGCAGAAAAUAGAGUGUUUA
rnacentral:rRNA from 1 species